UUUUAUGGAGAGUUUGAUCCUGGCUCAGGACGAACGCUGGCUGCGUGCUUAACACAUGCAAGUCGAACGCUGAAGCCGGGUGCUUGCACCUGGUGGAUGAGUGGCGAACGGGUGAGUAACACGUGAGUAACCUGCCCCCGAUUU
rnacentral:rRNA from 1 species